AGCGGUACGCGAGCUGGGUUCAGAACGUCGUGAGACAGUUCGGUCCCUAUCCGUCGCGGGCGUAGGAAAUUUGAGAGGAGCUGCCCUUAGUACGAGAGGACCGGGGUGGACGUACCUCUGGUGUAUCAGUUGUUCCGCCAGGAGCAUCGCUGAGUAGCUAUGUACGGAUGAGAUAAACGCUGAAAGCAUCUAAGUGUGAAACUCGCCUCGAGAUGAGAUUUCCCAUUCUUUAUGAAGUAAGACCCCUCAGAGAUGAUGAGGUAGAUAGGCUAGAAGUGGAAGUGCGGCGACGCAUGGAGCGGACUAGUACUAAUGGUUCGAGGACUUAACCAA
rnacentral:rRNA from 1 species